rnacentral:rRNA from 1 species
UACGAAGGGGGCUAGCGUUGCUCGGAAUCACUGGGCGUAAAGCGUGCGCAGGCGGCUAUGCAAGACAGAUGUGAAAUCCCCGGGCUCAACCUGGGAACUGCAUUUGUGACUGCAUGGCUAGAGUGCGGCAGAGGGGGAUGGAAUUCCGCGUGUAGCAGUGAAAUGCGUAGAUAUGCGGAGGAACACCGAUGGCGAAGGCAAUCCCCUGGGCCUGCACUGACGCUCAUGCACGAAAGCGUGGGGAGCAAACAGG